UACGAAGGGUGCAAACGUUGCUCGGAAUCAUUGGGCGUAAAGCGCACGUAGGCGGCUUUGCAAGUCGGAUGUGAAAUCCCGUGGCUCAACCAUGGACGUGCAUUCGAAACUGCGAAGCUUGAGUAUGGAAGAGGGUCGCGGAAUUCCCGGUGUAGAGGUGAAAUUCGUAGAUAUCGGGAGGAACACCAGUGGCGAAGGCGGCGACCUGGGCCAAUACUGACGCUGAGGCACGAAAGCGUGGGGAGCAAACAGG
rnacentral:rRNA from 1 species